rnacentral:rRNA from 1 species
UACGGAGGGGGCGAGCGUUGUCCGAAGUUACUGGGCGUAAAGCGCGCGUAGGCGGGUCAACAAGUCCGCUGUGAAAGCCCGAGGCUUAACCUCGGCGGGUCGGUGGAUACUGUUGGUCUUGAAGGUGCUAGGGGGAGAUGGAAUGACCGGUGUAGCGGUGAAAUGCGUAGAUAUCAAGAGGAACACCUGAGGUGAAGACGGGUUGCUAGGCUGACACUGACGCUGAGGCGCGAAAGCCAGGGGAGCAAACGGG